CGGAGCUACCUUGGUUCCUUUGGCUCUCAGUCUGAUAUCAGUAAUGACAUCACCAAUCAGGAAGCAGAUUUUCGAUUGGAGGAAUGGCUUGACCACGCCCAUCCAAGUGUAUUCUCACCAAUAGUAAACAAAGGGCUCGGGACUGGGCUAAAUGAGGACCAGUGGGCCACCUCGACUCCUGACAGAGAGGACGGGGAGCCUGUUAGCUUUGACCGUGGCCGCGUGAGGGCAUGGCUAGGAGUCCAGAGCGCCGCCCCUUCAGAGAGGAGGACUUCCUGUUCCAAAGCCGUGCAGACUGACGAACAGGUGUUACCUGGUUGGAAGCCACAGUGAUGCACUCAACCACAUACAACAACCUUUUCCUGCCCCCUCCCCUUCCCCGUCACAUGACCUAAAAGCCUUGUCUGAUUGGAUGAAGCCCC
rnacentral:lncRNA from 1 species